AUGACAAUAGCUCGUGCGAACAUUCGGCCUAGGGCCCGGACAUUUGGGGUCUUUCAUCGGGCUGGACAUCUGCCCCCAACCUUGUCACCCGGCACCUGUGCAUGCACAACCGGGCCAGAGGCUUCAUGUGGAUCUAGCUUCUUCACACCAACCCCACCAUUUCCAUGCACGAAAUUUGUCCAAUUUUGGCAAAAAAGAAUUCUUCUCCAAGGUCAUCUCCCCGAGAGUUCUUCCACGGAUCUCAGCAGCCAAAAAUCCGGCCCGACGCCUGGACAUCCGACACGUCGCAGCCAACACCUCCACCUUUCCCAAUUUUGGCCGUUUUCCCAACAUGAUGAGGACAUCAAUACCACAAUUACACUCAUGACCCCUGCUGUUACAUACAUGGGACUAAUCACUAGAGCUCGCGCACGCCAAUUAAAUUACCAGGUACUUUCGUUUUUUGGUAACGAUUCUAAUGUUCAUGAGAAUACGAUGCUGUCCAAAUUAGAUACAUUUGUUUUGCUUACAAAUGAAGUGCCUAGCUUACACAAGAGGGAUGAACAUUGGAGCAUGAUCAAGCAUGGAGAUGAUGACAUGCGCAAGGGGAACAAGAACAGAGUUUUUGGUGGAGUUUUCAGCAUUUUUGAGCCACCAUGA
rnacentral:rRNA from 1 species